rnacentral:rRNA from 1 species
CCUACGGGAGGCAGCAGUGGGGAAUAUUGCGCAAUGGGCGAAAGCCUGACGCAGCGACGCCGCGUGAGGGAUGAAGGUCUUCGGAUCGUUAACCUCUGUCAGCAGGGAAGAACGGUCACUGUGCUAAUCAGCAGUGAAUUGACGGUACCUGCAAAGGAAGCACCGGCUAACUCCGUGCCAGCAGCCGCGGUAAUACGGAGGGUGCGAGCGUUAAUCGGAAUUACUGGGCGUAAAGCGCUCGUAGGCGGUAUGUCAAGUCAAGGGUGAAAUCCCCGCGCUCAACGUGGGAACUGCCGUUGAAACUGGCAAACUGGAGAGGGUGAGAGGAUAGUGGAAUUCCAGGUGUAGGAGUGAAAUCCGUAGAUAUCUGGAGGAACAUCAGUGGCGAAGGCGACAAUCUGGCACAGAACUGACGCUGAGGAGCGAAAGCGUGGGUAGCAAACAGGAUUAGAUACCCGAGUAGUC